rnacentral:lncRNA from 1 species
GAGAGAGAGAAAAGUGUGAGAGUGAUGCAAAAUAUAGAUAUAACGAUAGAAAGUGAGUGAGAGCUCAGAAGCCAUAUUUCUCCCCCACUAGAAGAAUUUCUAAGCGAUUUAUUGUUGGUCGCCUGAGCUAUUCGUAUAUUGGGUGGGGAGGUAGUCAUAAUAUCUCAUCUUUUCUUUUGGUUUCUAGAAUUAUCCUGAGAGAGAUUAUACGAGAGAGAAAAAUCGAGGGUUUUCCUCUGAAGAAUUAUCUUGUCUUUUGGUUUCUACAAUCAUUCUGUCUGAGAGACGUUGUAGUGGAGAGAACGAAAUCAAGGGUUUUCAUUCGCAUAGCGCCUUCACCGUCACAUCGACGCUGGCGCUGAAGAACUCGGCUCUCUUCCCCAUCCAACGACACCUUGCCGUCACACCUGCAUCGGGCUAUAAGAACUCGAUUUUUUCCCCAUCCACUAGCGUCUCGCUGCCUUCAUGUACACAACCAGCAUAUCCAGCCAACCACAGGUGUUUGUUCCAUAAAGUUUUUUCUUGCAUUGAUGUUUCUCUUUCUUCUUCUUAGAUGUGAAAAUAUUUUUUUCAGAUACACUGCUUAUUCUUCAUUAUUGCACCUUUAGCUAAAGGCAUUUGAGAAAUUUUAGUGGUGAGACUUAUUUGGUGAACAUCUAUUCUUUUUCCUGGAAGAACUGUUGGUAGGCAGGAAAGAUGGUUUUUGUUAAGUUCCAUAUGAAAAAUAUUGUGCUAAAACUUGAGCAGCCCUACAAUCCGUUUAAGAUGGGACCACAUCAAAAAGCAUUCUUCUCUCAAAAGGAUUGGCUAACAUAUUUUUACGCUCAAAACCAUUUUCAAAUGAACAAAAAAUUGAUAUCAAAGUGACAUGUUUGACAAUGGGAAAUUUGGGGGUGAAAGUGGAAAUUUUGUAAUUAAUUUUUCUUCCAACAAGGUGUUGUUAACAUGUAGAAUAUAAUUUUUCGGUGAGCCGCUGACAUGCAUCAGAUGAGAAUGAAUGCUUGUGUUUGUGUAUAGAUACAUCUAUAUUGAUUUUUGUAGAUAAAAACCUUACACUACCUAAGAAGCACACCAAACACUGCAUUUGAUUUCUUGCCACAAAAGUCAGUGUCUUACCUUUGACAAGUUCCAAAAACCUAUUGGCACUGAAAAGAGGUAACUCGCAUUCACUUAGCUUCCAUCUCCAUUCCAUGAAGGCAGAAUCUGGUCGACCAAACUUCAUACACUUCUGUCUAUCAUCUAUCAAACAUUUAGUUUCAUUAGUGUAAUAGAAUCCCUCUGGAAAUCGAAUCCAGUCUCCUUGGAAUAUAUGACAUUUCUGUUCUGAGCUUACUGAUAACAAAUCAUUACUGGAAGGAUGAAGGGGCGUGUCUGGAAUAGUUUUCAUGUUCAGGGAAACUGAAUCAUUCGACAUCAUGUCUAGAUCACCCAUUAGGGAUCAUGGAUCAUAAAUUGUGUGGGAGACGUAGUUCUUCUUUACUCUUCAUUUUGAACUCUGGUGUUCAGUAUGGAAUUGCCAUGUUUUUAUCUUUAUAUAUUAAUACCUUACAAAAGAAAGCAAAAACACCUUCAUUAUGAAGAUUUUCUAAAUUAUUUUUGUGUUUUUGUUGUUUAUACAACAUUACACAUUUGUAUAAAUACAGGUUUGACCAUGUGAUAGUGUAUUUUUCCUUUCUUACAAUAUUUUAUUACACUAUUUUUAUAUGAAUCUUAUUAUAUACAAUACAAUAAGAAGUAUAAUUGAAUUUAAACUAUUUUAUCGACUUCAUUUGAAUUGCAAUGCCAGGAAUGGAAUAUUAUUCAACAAUUUAAUUUAGUGACAUGAUUUGAGUUCUCUUGUGCAAAAAAUGAAACAAUGAAGCUUUUGUGAACUUCAUUCCCCUAAGCCAUAAAAAGGCCUGUGUACUUUUAUGGAACGUGAGUAUUGGGCUGAAGAAAUAAGCCUCAGAUAGAUUUAACUCCAAUGCAGACUUCACCUCAAAAAAAAAACAAAUGUGGGCAACAAAUUUCACCACUUAAUCAUGUUAUAAGAAACUUUGAAGAUGCUCAUGACUGAGUUGAAUAACCGUCUGUAGGCUGCAUCAAUUGUUAUAGCAUAGAAGUGACAGAUUGAGAAGUCAUUUAUGCAUGCUGUCUUUCAACUUCGAUGCUGCAAAAUAGCAAUUUAAAAUAUCUGAUGUUUCUUUUCGGAAGUCAAGAAUUUUGAUUUUAUGUUGGUUAAGUUUAUUUAUUUAAUAAUGUGGGUUGUCUUCAAUGAUGGCAUAUUAUCCGUUCUUUGAGUAUCGUACAGAAGUCUUCUGCGUACAUGGGCCUAAAUUUCGGUAACACAAUGCAUUGAAUGAAAAGUUGCUUCUUUUUCCAGUAACAUCAUCUCAUUCAAACACCUGAAUGGAGUUUGAAUUGAAUCUAAAGGGACUGUAUUUCAUCUUUCAUCAACUAUAAGGUUGAAAGAGAGAUCCAUUAAUAGCAGAACUUAAUUAUUCUCUUUUAUGUAUCUGCAAUUGUUUUCUUGUAAAUAAUCUAAACUUAUAAUUUACAUGCGCACUAUUAUCAAUGUGCAGCAAUUUAUGCGUUCCACUCAGGCCUGGCAACGGUAUUGGGCAAGGAACUUUGCUGGAUGGAGAUGUUUUACUACAGCACAACCAUGGACUGUUCAUAUAGUAGUAGCAUGUCUAGAAAAAGCAAGCCGAACGGCCCUGAAAUACAUAAUUUUGUUUCUGAAAUAGUCCUAAGCUGGCUGUAUUAGAAAUCUAGAAAUGCACUGUCUUUUUACAGGCUGCACCAUCGUACUGGAAGCAACCCACUUGAGUUACACGGAACUGUAUAUAUUCUUGCUUGUACAGAUUGCGGUUUUUCUCUUCCUCGAAAUUCAUUUCAAGACCAAGUGAAGACUCUUAAUCCAAAGGUUAAGUCUUUUGGUAUUUGAGUUAUUGUUUCACUGUAGUAAUUCUAUCAAGUUCUUUUUUUGUCUGAAAUUCAAGUCCUAUUUUACAUUUUAUUUUUGUUAUUUUGGUUGCAGUUAUUAGUUUGAGUUUCAUGAGGAUGCUGAUUUGAUAAUUUUAUUGGAUUUAUAUUACAGCUUUAGUAACAGAUUGCAUCCUCACCAGACAUUGCAAUAUGCAUGGAUUUUUUUUUUCCCAUAAAACUAUGGGGGAAAUUCUAGGAUUUUAUUUAAUUUCUAAUUUCAUUUAAAUCAAUUUUAAUCUCCAAG